CCCUUAGACGUUCUGGGCCGCACGCGCGCUACACUGACCAGUGCAACAAGCAUCCGUCCUUGGCCGACAGGCCCGGGCAAUCUUUGAACGCUGGUCGUGAUGGGGAAAGACUUUUGCAAUUUUUGGUCUUCAACGAGGAAUUCCUAGUAAACGCAAGUCAUCAACUUGCAUUGAUUACGUCCCUGCCCUUUGUACACACCGCCCGUCGCACCUACCGAUUGAAUGGUCCGGUGAAGCCUCCGGAUUGGCGCGCACCUCGGUGCCGCCGAGAAGUUGGCUAAACCUUACCAUUUAGAGGAAGGUGAAGUCGUAACA
rnacentral:rRNA from 1 species